rnacentral:rRNA from 1 species
AUUGAACGCUGGCGGCAUGCUUUACACAUGCAAGUCGAACGGUAACAGGCCGCAAGGUGCUGACGAGUGGCGAACGGGUGAGUAAUGCAUCGGAACGUGCCCAGUCGUGGGGGAUAACGCAGCGAAAGCUGCGCUAAUACCGCAUACGAUCUAUGGAUGAAAGCGGGGGACCGUAAGGCCUCGCGCGAUUGGAGCGGCCGAUGUCAGAUUAGGUAGUUGGUGGGUAAAGGCUCACCAAGCCGACGAUCUGUGGCUGGUCUGAGAGGACGACCAGCCACACUGGGACUGAGACACGGCCCAGACUCCUACGGGAGGCAACAGUGGGGAAUUUUGGACAAUGGGGGCAACCCUGAUCCAGCAAUGCCGCGUGCAGGAAGAAGGCCUUCGGGUUGUAAACUGCUUUUGUACGGAACGAAACGGCCCUGGUUAAUACCCGGGGCUAAUGACGGUACCGUAAGAAUAAGCACCGGCUAACUACGUGCCAGCCGCCGCGGUAACAC